CUGGAGAUGGUCGCUGGGGAGAUGAAUGUGGACGGAAGCGGGAACCGCUGGAGAAACCUCGGAACUUUUAUUUGGAAAGCUGUGAAGUGAAGAUCCAGGAAAGCCUUGGACAAGAACAACCUCCAGAGGGGGAGCACAGGCCUAAGGCCUGCUGGCCAGACUGCAGCCCGUGGGGCCCAGAGCUGCUCGUUUCCUCCUAAAGGGAUCUUUCCGGCCACUUGAGGAUUUGAAAAGAGAGAGUUUGGGACCAGGAAACCUUUGAAGAAGAGCUUUCUCCAGAUGGGGACCUGGUCCUGAGGCCUGUUUGACAGGCUGCACCCUUUGGGGCCCCGUGGGGAUUGGAUCCGGGAGCUGAAACUUGGGACGGUGCAGGGACAGAGAAUCAAAUCCAUUCUGCUGUGAGGAAUCAUCAGACAAGAGCCAGAACCAGACAGAGCGAGAGAAUAAUCAGAAACUGUCCUGUCUCCCUGUCUUUCAUUUACACACUCUCGGAGAAAAGAGUUGUGGCGUUCAGUCUGUUUCUCUGGGAUUUUUACCACAAGGGGCGAGUCCUGGGCUGGGAGAGGAUAAAGGGGUAAACAGAUGGCAAGGGAGCUGCUGCACAGUCCGAUCCCACAGAUGUGACAGACUCCCUCACCCACUACAGUUCCCAUCUCGACCUCCGUGUACCCAAUUCUCUGUCUGUUCCACAACUUUCCUUCAAUCCCCAUCCUUCCCAUCUCUGCCCUGUUCACAUUUCCCUGUAGAUUCCCUUCCUACAACUCUCUGGAUCCUCCCUCUUUCCUAGAACUGUUGGAAUUGUUCACUCUUCCCCCACCUUUCUCUGUCUCUGUCAGCCCUGUGGGAUCUUGCUGUUCCUGCCUGAGCCCACGUUACCUGCCUAAUAGCAUCACCCCGCGCGCUCCCCCCACCCGCUUCACUAGCUGUCUGUUGUAUCUCUCUGGCUGCCCUUUGUCAUUUUCUCGAUGUUUUCUUUGUCUCUCCCAGUGAGUUCUCUCUCUAUUCCUCUGUCCUCCUGUGUCACCCCCCUUGCCUCACCAGAGUGUUUUAUUCUCUCUCUCUCUCUCUCUCUCUCUCUGUCCUGUUCUCUUUUCUCUGGGUUUUACACUCUCUUGUUUGUACUUUGAUUGUGUCCCUGAGAGUCUAUGUCCCUCUUUCAUUGCCUAGGAUCUUUCUGUCCAUUGUCGUCUUUUUCUGGGUGUUUUUCUCUCUCUCUUUCCCUGGUUUCACACUCUGCCUUUCCCCCUGUUUCUUUAAGCAGUUUUCUCUCUUCCUACCUCUGUCUCUGUCUCUGUGUCUGUCUGUCCCUCACCUCGUUCUUUUCUCUGCCUCCUUCCUAGAUCUAUACCCCCUCCCUCCCUGUCCUGCUGUUCCUGUUCCUGGGGUAGGGUGCUGCACAUGCUGUUAACACACUGGGAUCUUACUGUUUCCUGUGUCUCCCAUCGUCCAAACAGUGGGUGGGGGUGAGGGAGAUAAAGCCCCUUUCUCACUGAGCCGAGGGUGGGGAGCAGUGCAGGAGGCGGUCUGGGAUCUUGCUAUGCAUGAGACAGUCACACAGCUAGUCAGUGCACUACUCUGAGGCCCCCACCCCCUUCAGCUCAGGAGCUAGGGCUCUGAGGGGGGAUUGAGGGCGGUAUAUUGUACACAAUGGAGGCA